GAUGAAGAACGCAGCGAAAUGCGAUAAGUAGUGUGAAUUGCAGAAUUCAGUGAAUCAUCGAAUCUUUGAACGCACAUUGCGCCCUUUGGUAUUCCUUAGGGCAUGCCUGUUCGAGCGUCAUUUAAACCUUCAAGCUCAGCUUGGUGUUGGGUGACUGUCCGCUUCACCGCGGACUCGCCUCAAAAUUAUUGGCGGCCGGUACAUUGGCUCUCGAGCGCAGCAGAAACGCGUAACUCGAGGUCCUCGUGCUGGCUCCCAGAAGCUAUCUUCACAAUUUUGACCUCGGAUCAGGUAGGGAUACCCGCUGAACUUAAGCAUAUCAAUAAGCAGAGGA
rnacentral:misc_RNA from 1 species